CCGAGUUACACUCGCUGACGCCUCGUCAUCACAGCGCUGGAACACGUUGCCCAGCGGAACAUAUGAAUGUCUACCACAUUCACCGUAGACUACAAAUGUAUGCUGAUGAAUGUGAAAGGUCUCCUGAAGUAUCACCUGCUAAAGAACCUAAAGGCAGAAAAAAUACGAGAAAUGUGAGCCAUUGGAAAAGGGAGACAUUUAAACGUCAUAGAUAUUUUGGCAGGGAGUACAUAUCUGAUAAAACAGGACAAAUUGUUGGUGCUAAUGGUCUUGGUUCUGGAUGUAAACGUAAAUACAAGUGUUGGGGCAAAAUUCAUGAAUGUAUAGAGCAGACAUUCAAUUCUUUUGGGGAUAUGGGUAAUUUCAAUUGCCAAAAAAUUACCUUCUGAGCAAUGUUAAGAUGCAAGAAGUGCAAAGGAGCUACCCAAAGAAGAGGAAAAGCACAAUUUCAAGGCGAAUGGUCACUUUCUCGUACCAGGUUAAGGUUUAUGGCUGUAAUAUUUUGGUAAGCAGAGAAGCGUUUUUUAGUGUGCAUGAGCUUCAGAACAAUCAUGGACGUCUUAAGAACUUACAAAAAUACUUGCGUGAUGGACACUCCACUUCUCCAGAAGACAAAAGAGGAAAAAAUUGAUCCCAUCAAGGAAAAUUUCACAAGAAGUAGUUCAGAGUGUUCACAAUUUCAUAAAUAAUGUACCUAAGUAUGCCAGUCAUUACAGCCGCUCACAGGACCCCAAUAAAAUGUACUUCGACCGUGAUAUGUAGAUUUCUUCAUUAUAUCAAGAACAUUAUUUGAAAUAUUGUGAAGAAAAUAAUGCACCACAAGUAAAAGUUUCGACAUUUCGAGAUAUAUACAACCCUGAUUUUAAUAUUUGUUUUAAACUGCCACAUUCAGAUUCAUGUCAUGUAUGUGGCGAAUAUCAAAUUCAAAUAAAAAAUGCACAGUUCAACAACUCUGAAGAUAUUAUUAGAAGAUUAAAAUUUGGAAGGGACCUACAUCAUGCCAAAGCAUCUGAUGCACAAAAUAUAUUUACAUAGCUUUCCAAAUUACCUAGGGAAAAUCCUGAGGAAUAUCUUACAAUAGCCUUUGACCUACAACAAACCUUUCCAACACCAAGGAUUACAUCUGGGCCUCCAUUCUAUAAGAGGAAGUUGUGGACUUACAAUUUUGAUAUCCAUGAUUAAGGGUCUGAA